rnacentral:rRNA from 1 species
AGUAUCAUUAAGUGAAUACAUAGCUUAAUGAGGGGAACUCAGGGAACUGAAACAUCUAAGUACCUGAAGGAAGAGAAAGAAAUUCGAUUCCGUAAGUAGCGGCGAGCGAACGCGGAUUAGCCCAAACCAAUAAAGUUUUCUUUAUUGGGGUUGCGGACAUAUCAUAACGAAGAGGUAUCGUAAUUGAAGAGGUUUGGAAAGACCCACCACAGAAGGUAAUAGUCCUGUAUGUUAAACGAGAAGACUUUAGAUAUGAUCCAGAGUACCACGGGACACGUGAAACCCUGUGGGAAGCAGGAGGGACCACCCUCCAAGGCUAAAUACUACCUAGUGACCGAUAGCGUAUAGUACCGUGAGGGAAAGGUGAAAAGAACCCCGGGAGGGGAGUGAAAUAGAACCUGAAACCCUGCACUUACAAGCUGUGGAAGCACAUUUCUUGUGUGACCGCGUACUUUUUGUAGAACGGGCCAACGAGUUACGUUAAGUAGCAAGGUUAAGCACUUAAGGUGCGGAGCCGUAGCGAAAGCGAGUUUUAACUGAGCGUUCAGUUACUUGACGUAGACCCGAAACCGGGCGACCUACCCAUGAGCAGGAUGAAGCGAAAGUAAAAUUUCGUGGAGGUCCGAACCCACGAGCGUUGAAAAGCUCGGGGAUGACUGGUGGGUAGCGGUGAAAUUCCAAUCGAGCCCGGAGAUAGCUGGUUCUCCCCGAAAUAGCUUUAGGGCUAGCCUCAAGGUGAGAGAUACGGAGGUAGAGCACUGAAUGUCCUAGGGGGUAUUGCACCUACCGAAGACUAUCAAACUCCGAAUGCCGUCAUCUUAUACUUGGGAGUCAGACUGUGGGUGAUAAGAUUCAUAGUCGAAAGGGCAACAGCCCAGAUCGUCAGCUAAGGUCCCUAAAUGUAAGUUAAGUGGUAAAGGAUGUGGGAUUGCACAGACAACCAGGAUGUUGGCUUAGAAGCAGCCACUCAUUCAAAGAGUGCGUAAUAGCUCACUGGUCGAGUGAUCCUGCGCCGAAGAUUUCCGGGGCUAAAACUUACUACCGAAGCUACGGCAUCAGUAAUGAUGGGUAGGGGAGCUUCCCAUACGGGUUGAAGCAUGACCGUAAGGACAUGUGGACAGUAUGGGAGUGAGAAUGUUGGCAUGAGUAGCGAGAUGUGGGUGAGAAUCCCACAGGCCGUAAACCCAAGGUUUCCAGGGGAAGGUUCGUCCGCCCUGGGUUAGUCGGGACCUAAGCUGAGGCCGAAAGGCGUAGGUGAUGGACAACAGGUUGAUAUUCCUGUACUACCGAU